rnacentral:rRNA from 1 species
UCGAGAAUUUUUCACAAUGGGCGCAAGCCUGAUGGAGCGACGCCGCGUGGGGGAUGAAGGGCUUCGGCUCGUAAACCCCUGUCAUUUGCGAACAAGGGCGCCAACCUAACAUGUUGUCGCUUGAUAGUAGCAGAAGAGGAAGGGACGGCUAACUCUGUGCCAGCAGCCGCGGUAAUACAGAGGUCCCAAGCGUUGUUCGGAUUCACUGGGCGUAAAGGGUGCGUAGGUGGCGAUUUAAGUCGGGUGUGAA